GCUUAUCUCACACCUGCAGGACAGAAGUGAAAGAGGAGAGAAAGAAAGCGAAGUUUGGCUCUACUGGGAGCAGGUGAGAAAGAAGAGAAAGAGAGCAUCCCUCAAGUUCAUCAAUGUGCUUCAGUAAUGGCAGGACAUCACCUCGGCACCAUUACCAGCUCUCUGAAUGCAGCGUGGCAGGGACUCCACACAGACUGAGUGAAUGAAGCCAGCAGACCUGUCGCUCUCUCCUCCUACGCUCGGCCGCGGCCCCCCUGCUGGAAGGCGGAUUGAGGGUGGCUUGCAGGUGGCAGACACAACCUUCUUCUAUCUAUAGAAAGAUAGACAGACCGACACAGGCAGACAGAUGGAGAUGAAGGAAGAUGUGAAGUUCUCUCAGCUGUCAUUUCGCGAGUGCAGGGACAGAAAAGCUCUGAUUCUUACACACCCCUUCAUUCCCUUACCAUUGCAAAACAGAACAAGAGGAGAAGAGAGCAAACGCAGAUGAAAAUGUUACUGGAAAGGGCAGCUACACUGAAAAACCGCCUCCUCUGAGAAUUGUCCUCGGCAGACAUGAAAAAAAUUGCAUUUUGUACCGCAUAAAAGCCUCAUCUCCAUAGAAGGAAGAGAGAAGGAGAAAAAGAGUCGCUGCUUUUCAGGCUGCCUGUCCAAAAAAAAAAAAAAAAGACCAGACCCUCGUGAGAGUCUCAUUACCUGAAGAAAAACUGUGCCAUUAAAAUGAAAUUUAAUUUG
ensembl:processed_transcript